rnacentral:misc_RNA from 1 species
GAUGAAGACGCAGCGAAAUGCGAUAAGUAAUGUGAAUUGCAGAAUUCAGUGAAUCAUCGAAUCUUUGAACGCACAUUGCGCCCUCUGGUAUUCCGGGGGGCAUGCCUGUUCGAGCGUCAUUAUAACCACUCAAGCUCUCGCUUGGUAUUGGGGUUCGCGGUUCCGCGGCCCCUAAAAUCAGUGGCGGUGCCUGUCGGCUCUACGCGUAGUAAUACUCCUCGCGAUUGAGUCCGGUAGGUCUACUUGCCAGCAACCCCCAAUUUUUACAGGUUGACCUCGGAUCAGGUAGGGAUACCCGUUGAACUUAAGCAUAUCAAUAAGCGGAGA